rnacentral:rRNA from 1 species
CAGAGGUGGCAAGCGUUGUUCGGAAUUACUGGGCGUAAAGGGCGCGUAGGCGGCCAUCUAAGUCAGACGUGAAAUCCCCCGGCUUAACCUGGGAACUGCGUCUGAUACUGGACGGCUCGAGUUUGGGAGAGGGAUGCAGAAUUCCAGGUGUAGCGGUGAAAUGCGUAGAUAUCUGGAGGAAUACCGGUGGCGAAGGCGGCAUCCUGGACUAACACUGACGCUGAGGCGCGAAAGCUAGGGGAGCAAACGGGAUUAGAUACCCCGGUAGUCCUAGCCCUAAACGAUGAAUGCUUGGUGUGGCGGGUAUCGAUCCCUGCCGUGCCGAAGCUAACGCAUUAAGCAUUCCGCCUGGGGAGUACGGUCGCAAGGCUG